rnacentral:rRNA from 1 species
AGUUUGAUCCUGGCUCAGGAUGAACGCUGGCGGUAUGCUUAACACAUGCAAGUCGAACGGAAGUCUUCGGACUUUAGUGGCGGACGGGUGAGUAACGCGUGAGAACCUACCCUUAGGACGGGGAUAACAGCUGGAAACGGCUGCUAAUACCCGAUGUGCCGAGAGGUGAAAGAUUUAUUGCCUGAGGAAGGGCUCGCGUCCGAUUAGCUAGUUGGAGUGGUAAUGGCACCCCAAGGCGACGAUCGGUAGCUGGUCUGAGAGGAUGAUCAGCCACACUGGGACUGAGACACGGCCCAGACUCCUACGGGAGGCAGCAGUGGGGAAUUUUCCGCAAUGGGCGCAAGCCUGACGGAGCAAUACCGCGUGCGGGAGGACGGCCUUUGGGUUGUAAACCGCUUUUCUCAGGGAAGAAGUUCUGACGGUACCUGAGGAAUCAGCAUCGGCUAACUCCGUGCCAGCAGCCGCGGUAAUACGGGGGAUGCAAGCGUUAUCCGGAAUUAUUGGGCGUAAAGCGUCCGCAGGUGGUUUGUCAAGUCUGCUGUUAAAGCGUGGAGCUUAACUCCAUAUCGGCGGUGGAAACUGAUGAACUAGAGGGUGGUAGGGGUCACGGGAAUUCCCAGUGUAGCGGUGAAAUGCGUAGAUAUUGGGAAGAACACCAGCGGCGAAAGCGCGUGACUGGGCCAUUACUGACACUCAUGGACGAAAGCUAGGGGAGCGAAAGGGAUUAGAUACCCCUGUAGUCCUAGCCGUAAACGAUGGACACUAGGUGUUGCCCGUAUCGACCCGGGCAGUGCCGUAGCUAACGCGUUAAGUGUCCCGCCUGGGGAGUACGCACGCAAGUGUGAAACUCAAGG